ACAAUUGUCGAUGAUUAAUCUGCAAAACGCAUUUGAACGUUUCAGAUUAUCACCGCGUUUAAUCGCCACCGUGAGACUUCCCGGCAAACAAUUCAAGAGACUGUUACCUCUCUCAUGGAAGCUCGAUGGAGCUGGAGAUUUCAAUUUUGAUUUCAUCAUCAAUUGCAGAACCGGAAUCGCAUCCGCCGCUAAAACAGCUUGAGAUCUAGCCGUCUCCGUCGGCAUUGUUGUCCACGAUUGUCGCAACGUGUAGAUCGUGUCCAUCGCCGAAUCUCUCGCUUCUUGCUCGCCGGAUUUCAAAGCUCCGAUUAAGUGAGGGAUACAAGCGGUAGCUGCUUCCGACGAACGGAGUUUUGGAAACGUUGUGAGAAUCGUGUUUAGCGUUCUCACUAUUUCUACGUUUAUCGCCGUCGUUGUCCAAAACUCUCUCUCCAUCGCAUCUGCAUUGAAAUCAGUGAGUGUUUGAUUCUCAAUCCGAUCAUAAAUUUUGAAUUCGGAAUUGAAACUUACUUGUUAGAGAUUUGAUGAUUUCACCAGAGACGUAUUCUUGAAGUGUAUGAUUAGAGAAGAGAGAUUUGAUAAUUAGAGCUGCUUGUGUAGAAACUUGUGGAUUACUAGAUCUAAGCAUUUCCUGAACCCAAUAUACUCCACCAGCUUCAGCCAUAGCUUUACGACUUGUUCUACUAUGCAUUGCAAAGUUUUCCAAAGCACGCAUCACAACCAUUUGCAUUUCCUCGCUCGGUUCAUCUUCAAGCAAGCUGAUUAACGCACGACAUGCCACGGGCGAGUCCGUGGCUUUAGCGAGUCCUUCGUGUUGAGAGAUGUCACCUAGAGCCAUUGCUAUGAGAAUUUUUGCGGAUUCUGAUAUUGUGUCUGGGUCUAGUAUGUACUCUGAUAGAGGGGUAAGUACAAACUGACAUAUCUUUGUCUCUCUAACCUUUGGAUUGCGUAGUAUUAAUUCGAGUAAUCUUGCUGAGAGUUCUUCGCAGUGGUGUGAUCUUAGUAGAUCUAGUAAUGCGUCGAGUGCACUGGAUUCUGCCAUUUCUUGAACGCUUGACGAGUCUUGAUUCUCACGGAUGAUCAAUGCGUCGAUGGCUAAGAUCACUGUGCUUUCAGCUGUGGAGAACAACAUUUUUGACAGAACUGGUAUAGUCACCGUAAAGUAAUAGUGUUCUGGGUUGAUUCUGAGAAUGUUGCAGAGAAUGAAAGCUGCUGAUUCCCAUAGAUAUACAGGAAGCUGAGGAUCUUCGUCGAUGAUAACCUUGGAGAGCUCUUGAAUUCCUCCGGUAUCUGCUACCUCUUUUGGCCAUGUAACUGAAGAUCUCUCUAAACCCAUCAAUGCUAUCUCUUGUAAGUUUCUUACUCUGAUCCCUACCAGUUUCACUAGAGGAGCAAUGAGAUUUUUGGUUGUUAUCUCUUCUUGGAAACGUUGCAUUUCGAGUAGAGAGGUCAGUAGUAUUGUGGUUGCAUUUUUGACCGCUAUUGACUCGGACUCAAGCAGUGGUAUCAAAGGCAUAAUGAUUGUGGAAGAUGCAAUUUUCAAUGAUUCAAGAACCAUUGGCUUCUCCAAGAUGUUUGCUAUAGCUUGUAAACCACCGAGUUGACCUUGAAAAUCCAAGUCUUGUCUAAGCAAAAUCAAAAGGAGCGGUUGUACCAUUUUUAUAGCGUCUUGGCUUCGAGCUAUAACACCAACGUUCGUCAAAACUCUGAAAAGAUCUGCGAUUACAGAACACAAAGAACUUGGCGGCGAUUUGGAGAGUUGGCUAAUACAUUUCUCGAUUAUCCCCAUUUUAAUCAGAUCCAUUUUCCGGGGAGUAUUGUCUUUAGCCAUUUUCGUAAGACAAGAAAUUGCAGCCUCACUGAUCAGAUAGUUUUCGGAAGCCACAUAUCCGUAGAACAGGUUCACACAAUCAUGUUCUUCUGCAACCUCUACAAAUCUUUUGAUAUCCAAGAGUCUGUCUAGUGCAAACAUUCCGGCUUCUAUAGCUGUACUUUUUCCUGUUCGGAUAAGUGAUAUAAGGGAUACAAUGCAACAUGCGGCAGAUGUGCUUGUUCUCAAACCUUCAUUGGUAAAUAGAAAGCGGCAUAUCCUUGCAGCACUUGUCUUUGAUUCAAGCGAAGAACUAUCUAAAGACAAAAUUUUGUAGAUGUUGUCCAAUGGGUUUCCUUCAAGACUAGUAAGAAUAUCUGGCCUUGGAUUUAUUCCCAUAGUUAGCUUCACUAAAGCUGUUAGAGCAGCUACUCUCUCACUCUCUAACGUUGUAUUCAACAUUUCAAUAAGAGGAGAAAGUGCUUUCCAUGCUAAUUCAGAAUCUCUGAUGUGCUCAGAGCUAAACAGUUCACAGAGGACCCUUGCAGCAUUGUAGCGAGUACUUCUAGAAGCAAGAUGAAGAAUUCCUAUGAGCUGCUUCAUGGAACUUAUAGCUGUUUUAUGUCGUGUGAUUUCCGGGCUGCGAAAGAGUGAUUCUAACAGUUCAGAAACGGUAAUCUCUGUUGAAUCUUGAGGGCUCAAAGAAAGGUACUUUGCUAAAGCAUCUAGAGCUCCAGCUUCAGCGAUAAGUAAUUUACUUAAAUCGUCAUUGUCUGCAAUACGACGAAGAAGUCGAAUAGCCACUGGAAUGCCUCCAACUUUAUCUGCAUAUGGCUUCAAGAGAUUCACGAGCAAGGGAAUACAUUUUUUGUAAAAUAUCCAUCAAUCAUCUGCUCAGAUUGCAUGAAAGGUGCUAGCGUUUGCAAAAUAUUUUCUGUUGCUGGAGAUGAGACAACCUUUGGUUCCUGAGACAUAACAGCUAAAAAUGACAUAGCGAUCCAUUUUUCCUCGGAAUCAGAGGAAUUCUCCUACAAAAAUUAAAGAUAAUAAGUCAGCAAAACCAACACUUGCAGGAUUUAGAAGAAAAAGCUAAAGAGAGCAAUCUGUUCGAAGGAUGAGAAGAGCAAAUAAUGGAGAGUAACCACAUAGAGGCGGUGCUUCCCAAGAUAGUAACUGGAUCAACCAUUUCAGAGUCAUCCAUCCUUAAGCACAAAUUGCUUGUAAUAAAAGAUCUUGGUCUUUGAAUUUCAAUUCCAUAUGAAGCAGAUUUAGAGUUCUGCUUUGACAUAUCAAGAAGAGUGUUUACUAAGGUUUUCAAAUACCCUGAUUGUUCAACCGCUUCCGCCCAUAAUGUAAUGUCGUUCUUUGCUGCGCACACAAGCAAGAUCGCUCCUCCAACUUUGAUUUCAGGACUUGAUGAGUUGAUUGUUCUGUUAGCCAAUGAAGAAAUUGAUUUUGAUUGUGUCACCAAAAGUCGACCUAACAAGAUAAAUUGUGUCUUGCAGAAACGAGACAAAAUCUCUAUUGCUUUAUCUUGCACCAAAGGAUGACCUUCAGCUAAACCGCGGACAAGAGAGUCUAAAUUUGAAGGAACUUCACCGAAUGCAGAAAAAGGGUUAUGUGACAAGUUAGCACCAUAUUUAGCUUUGGCUAGUAAAGAGAGUACUUCUAAGACGUCGAUGAAAGCGCUGUUGUUCAGUGUUCCCUCUCUCAGUACUCUGGUCAAAGCAGAAACAACGUCAUCGUUUAAUGCUUCAGCUGCAACAUUUGGGUCUGAAAGAAGGUUCGCAAGAGUGGACAUGGGAUUCUCUGUUGACUCGAUGGGGUUUGUUUUUGCUGACUUUAUCAAUGGUUUGAUCACUUCGACUUCUGGACCGGAUAAUUUCUUUGUUGCAGUUUUUUUCUUUGUUGGAUUAGAUAGAGAGCCCAAGGCAUGCGCUAACUGCGUUGCAACAGCGUGAGUGUUUCCGCUUAAAAGCUUUGUGCACGGAUUGUCAUCCUCAUCAAAUCCAAGACCACCACAAAGGUCUUUUCUUGAACUGAAUAGAUCAGCCAAGACAGAAGCUGCGUUCUCUUUCAUCUUCUCGUUUGAUGAGGCAAGUCUCUGGACAAGCGACCUCAAUCCAUUAUUCGCUGCGGAACCCUUGGUGACAAAUUCUUCCAAAGAAGCCGAUGCAAGAACAUGGCCUAGAACUCUAAUCAAAUGAGUCUUUGAUUUAGGAGCAUCUCCAAGAAACAAAGCCUGUACUUGCUCGAUAACACUUGGAUCAGCUGUUUUAAUCAGUUUCAAAAGCGUAUUUGCUGAGCUCUCUUGUGAUUUUGGUCCACCGUUCUUUAAAAGACCCAAAAGUGCAGGAAUAGCUCCUGCUUUCUCAACGCAGAGGCGGAUUUCUUCGCUGUGACAACAUAGGUUCAAAAUUACACGGACCGCAUCGUCCUUUGCUUUCUGAGAUACACCAGUCUCUAAUAUCUGCAAUAAUGGAGGAAUCCCACCUGCAGAAGUAACAGCCCAUCUACUUUCUUCGACAUUAUCGGUCAAGAUCGCUAAGAACUCAACAGACAGUUCUUGAUGUUGUUCGCUAGACAAACCAAGGUACGGUAUGAGGAUUUGUAUCCCUUCUCUCUUCCCAAUAGCAUCCCAAACAUCACCAUGCUUGCAUAAAUUUGACAAACAAGUAAUCAUCCGCUCACGUGGACCGUCCGUGGCCAAUAUUGUUAGACAGACUAAAACCCUCUUAGCGUCAACAUUGUUGAGUAGUUUUGAUAGAUCAACAUUUCCGAAUAGACUUUCCAUAGCCUCCAAGAUACGUUCGUGGAUCAAUUGAGUAUCCCGGGGCUUUAGUAGUUUCACUAGUAUUCCUUCUGUUAGUGUUGGAUCAAAAGCUUCUCUAGUAUCACCGCAACUUAGCUGAAAUUUUCUCAGAGCAUAAGCAAGAGCUCCAAGAAUAUCAGCGAUGGGCUCAGUGAGGCGUGGAGACAAAGAUAGCCCUCCAAGAUACACUAUCAAACCAGACAUUCCUCCGCAUAAGUUUGCUAAAGCUUGUGUCCCAUAACUUUGUAAGACGCGUUCAGUUUCCUCCUCCACUGACUCUUUAGAAGAUGCAACCACUGCGCUAAUAAGAAGGUGGAUCCCAUCUAAAUCUCUUGCCACAGUUAUAGCUUCUUCUGACUUUGAUGUGAUGGCUUCUAGAGCGUUGACUACACUGGCACGUACGAAAACACUAUUUUCUUCACCUAGAAGCUGAACCAGAACUUGCACAGCACCUGACUCUUCAACUUUUGAGAUACUGCUGGUAAAAAUCCUGAUAAGACGAGCUAAGAGAGAAGCUGCGUUUGAUUGAGAUACCGGGUUACUAGACUGGAGAAGCUUUAAGAUGAUAUCUACUCCGCCAUCUUCAAGUGUUAAUGCCCAAAACCCGUCUUUAUCACCGCAAAGAUUUCUCAAAGCUCCAACCAAAUGUCCUUCCACUGUCUUGUCCUGUUUUUUCCCCGUCUUUAAUUGAUCCCACAAACUCGGUACCACGCCUUCCGUGACAAAUAUUUUAGUACCUACAUUAUCACCAUCCAUUCCACACAAGGAAACUUCAUAUAUGGCCUCGGCUACAACUCUUUUUGCAUCCACAGAGUCAGACUUCAAAAGUGAUAGCAGCGGUGGGAUACAUCCGCCUAUCAGUAUCUUAGAACGAACGUUUUUGUCUUUGCAUAGAACGGUUAGGACUGAAGCGGAAUUGAGUUUUGCCAAGAGGGUUCCACUCCUAAGAAGUGAUAUAAAGGCAGGCAUGGCGUUCACAUUCUGGCUAAUGAUCUUUCUACAUUCCUUUUUACCCUUGGCUAAACCAAGAAGCCGAGCGGUGCUAAGCUCUUUCUCUUGCGCCGAUGAUUUCUUGGCAUGAAGCUGUUCGAUGAGACGUGUGAUUGUAACCGCUGCUUUCUCUGGAUCAUCCAUCUCAGACGUCAUUGUUUUAUUAUCGUCCCUGCACCCAAAAGCCCUCAAUUAUACAAAGAUAAAGAUAGCAAAGCAAAUAGUCAAAAAGUAUUGAAAGCAAUUCGAUACCUCAGCCGAGGAGAAGACACGGAAGGAGUCUCUUGGUCAUUCGUUGAGGAGGGAGGCAUUGACAUAUUCUCUUUUCUGAAGAAACUCCUUUAGAAAACAGAAACAAAAACAUUUAGCUAAAUGGAUUCAACAACAAAUCAAACUAAAGAUAGAAUCCUCUUGAUUUUGUAUUAUUGUCAUUUGGUGAUUAAGAGAUUUUUUUCCUGCCACAAUCAAAUGCACAAUUCAUUUACAAAAUUACCUUUUAUGCAAACGUUCUAUUACUCCUUUUUA
rnacentral:lncRNA from 1 species